AGUGAACGCUGGCGGUAGGCCUAACACAUGCAAGUCGAACGGCAGCACAGUAAGAGCUUGCUCUUACGGGUGGCGAGUGGCGGACGGGUGAGGAAUACAUCGGAAUCUACUUUUUCGUGGGGGAUAACGUAGGGAAACUUACGCUAAUACCGCAUACGACCUACGGGUGAAAGCAGGGGAUCUUCGGACCUUGCGCGAUUGAAUGAGCCGAUGUCGGAUUAGCUAGUUGGCGGGGUAAAGGCCCACCAAGGCGACGAACCGUAGCUGGUCUGAGAGGAUGAUCAGCCACACUGGAACUGAGACACGGUCCAGACUCCUACGGGAGGCAGCAGUGGGGAAUAUUGGACAAUGGGCGCAAGCCUGAUCCAGCCAUACCGCGUGGGUGAAGAAGGCCUUCGGGUUGUAAAGCCCUUUUGUUGGGAAAGAAAAGCAGCAGGUUAAUACCCCGCUGUUCUGACGGUACCCAAAGAAUAAGCACCGGCUAACUUCGUG
rnacentral:rRNA from 1 species